GGAACAUGGGGCUGUACGCUGCGGUGGCAGGCGUGCUGGCCGGCGUGGAGAGCCGCCAGGGCUCUAUCAAGGGGCUGGUGUACUCCAGCAACUUCCAGAACGUGAAGCAGCUGUACGCGCUGGUGUGCGAAACGCAGCGCUACUCCGCCGUGCUGGAUGCCGUGAUCUCCAGCGCCGGCCUCCUCAGUGCGAAGAAGCUGCAGCCGCACCUGGCCAAGGCCUUGAUGACUUACAAGCCCUCAAGGGGAAGCAUUUUCUCCUGGACUCCUUGAUGCCGGAGCUGCUGGUGUUUCCCGCCCAGACAGAUCUGCAUGAACACCCACUGUACCGGGCCGGACACCUCAUUCUGCAGGACAGGGCCAGCUGUCUCCCAGCCAUGCUGCUGGACCCCUGCCAGGCUCCCAUGUCAUCGAUGCCUGUGCCGCCCCAGGCAAUAAGACCAGUCACUUGGCUGCUCUUCUGAAGAACCAAGGGAAGAUCUUUGCCUUUGACCUGGAUGCCAAGCGGCUGGCAUCCAUGGCCACGCUGCUGGCCUGGGUUGGCGUCUCCUGCUGUGAGCUGGCUGAGGAGGACUUCCUGGCGGUCUCCCCCUUAGAUCCGCGCUAUCGUGAGGUCCACUAUGUCCUGCUGGAUCCUUCCUGCAGUGGCUCGGGUGAGAUGGUAUGCCGAGCAGACAGCUGGAGGAUCCCGGGGCAGGGACACCUAGCCCGGUGCGUCUGCAUGCCCUGGCAGGGUUCCAGCAGCGAGCCCUGUGCCACGCGCUCACUUUCCCUUCCCUGCAGCGGCUCGUCUACUCCAUGUGCUCC
ensembl:lncRNA NSUN5P1 NSUN5 pseudogene 1